rnacentral:lncRNA from 10 species
CCACAAUCCUGCAUUUCUAAUAGAUGCUCAGGCUUCUGGUUCUCAGAAGGGACUGGAACAUACAAAGCAAGCUCCUGCCCUCAGAGUAAGGCAGCUGCCAUCUAGAAAGAUGGGUGCUGAGCCCCCUACCAGGGCUCCAGUCAGAGUCUGUCCUCAGAGUAAGGCAGGUGCCAUCUAGAGGGAUGGGUGCUGAGCCCCCUACCAGGGCUCCCGUCAGAGUCUGUCCUCAGAGUAAGGCAGGUGCCAUCUAGAGGGAUGGGUGCUGAGCCCCCUACCAGGGUUCCAGUCAGAGUCUGUCCUGAGGAAGGAAGGUGCUAUCUAGAGAAAUGGGUGCUGAGCCUCCUACCGGGGCUUCAGUGAGAGUCUGUCCUCAGAGGAAGGAAGGUGCUAUCUAGAGAAAUGGGUGCUGAGCCCCCUGCCAGGGCUCCAAUCAGAGUCUGUCCUCAGAGGAAGGAAGGUGCUAUCUAGAGAAAUGGUUGCUGAGCCUCCUACCGGGGCUUCAGUGAGAGUCUGUCCUCAGAGUAAGGCAGGUGCCAUCUAGAGGGAUGGGUGCUGAGCCCCCUGCCAGGGCUCCAAUCAGAGUCUGUCCUCAGAGGAAGGAAGGUGCUAUCUAGAGAAAUGGGUGCUGAGCCUCCUACCGGGGCUUCAGUGAGAGUCUGUCCUCAGAGGAAGGAAGGUGCUAUCUAGAGAAAUGGGUGCUGAGCCCCCUGCCAGGGCUCCAAUCAGAGUCUGUCCUCAGAGGAAGGAAGGUGCUAUCUAGAGAAAUGGGUGCUGAGCCUCCUACCGGGGCUUCAGUGAGAGUCUGUCCUCAGAGUAAGGCAGGUGCCAUCUAGAGGGAUGGGUGCUGAGCCCCCUACCAGGGCUCCAGUCAGAAUCUGUCCUCAGAGGAAGGAAGGUGCUAUCUAGAGAAAUGGGUGCUGAGCCUCCUACCGGGGCUUCAGUGAGAGUGUGCAAACCUUCCUCACAGAUGUGUGAUCUUCAUAAGGUCUCCCUGCCCUCUCCACCUUCCACCUCACUCUUAAUGAGUAGUUCUGCCUACUUUUCUCUCUGUCUUACUCUUCUUCUCCCAUUUCUAUGGUCUGAAUGUUUGUGUGCCCCAAAAUCCAUACGCUGAAAUCCUAACCCUCAACAUGACGUAUCAGGCGAUGGGGCCUUUGAGGUGUGGUUAAGUUAUGAGGGUGGAGCCCUCAGGAGUGGGAUUGCUGUCCUUAGGAAAGGGACCCCAGAGAGCUGCCUUGCCUCUUCACCAUGUAAGGACACAGUGAGAAGGCACCAUCGACCAGGGAACAGGCCCUCACCAAACACCAGAUCUGCCAGAGCCUGGAUCAUGGACUUCCCAGCCUCCAGAACCGUAAGGUGAACCUUCCUUUUGCUUAUAAGCCAACCAGCCUGCAGUGUUUUGUUAUGGCAACCUGAUGAAUGAAGACAACUGUCUUUUUUCCAGUCACUCGGAACUGUUUGCUGCCGUAGAAACCGUACCCUGCUUUCCCACACCUGCCCUCUCUCUCAACACCGUAAGCCCCCAGCCUGGCUGCCCCUUUCCUUCUCUCACUCUCUCACUGCCCAUCCUCCGGAAGCUGGCUGAGCGGGGACACCCACCCGUGCCCCGCUGGUGAACAGGUUCGUCCCCUUGUGCUUUGGAUACUCUGCAAGUUUCCUUGUCAGAGCCCAUGACCCCCUCCCCGACAUCUGCACUUGUUUCCGGACUGUCCCACAGCCAGACCUCAAGUCCCUGU